GAGAACAAAGCCCUCCGAGUAUUGUGAACCUUCAAACCCUAACCCUAGUGUAUCUUUCCGCCGCUGAGUUGGUUUCUAUAUAUAACUAUCUGAACCAUUGUCCUUUCAUAGGAGGAGUGACGGCGGCUUUGAUGGUGGUGGUGGACCAGGAGGCAAAGGGAGAGAAAGGCUGCCGGAAGCAUUUCGGUUGGGAGGCAUUAGGAAUUGAAUUUGUUUCAUUUCCAGAAAUUCCUUUCAUUUCCUAUACCUCCCAUACCGAAGGUUUUCGAAGUUUCCUCCCCUUUCCUUCUGUCCGUUUAUUCAUGUUUAUACUUGCUUCGAUCCUUGUCUUCUUCGCAUCUACCCGUUCUGAUCCUGUCUUACUUUCCAAUUUCUCUUAUUAUGUAUGGAUCUGAUUCAAUCUCGCUCAAACUUUUAAGUACUGAUUGUUUGAGGAAUAUCUUUUAAACUCAUAAAUUGAUUCUCGUGUUUUAUGGUACUCCUUGAAUUGGAUGGAC
rnacentral:lncRNA from 1 species